rnacentral:lncRNA from 11 species
AGAAGAUCUUAAUGUCUGUCCUGGUUCAUGGGGGAAGAUGCGUUUGGACAGGGGACUCAAGGCGGCUUAAAGACUCGAGCAAGAUUCAAUAAUCACCACUUCAUUCUUUGUGGUGAAUGUGGAAGUGAAGAUGAAGGUAUUGGAGAAGAGUAUGAUUUGUAUGACAAGUUAGUAGUUUGUGGCAUUCAGAUUUUAAAGUAAUUAAAAUAUAACUAUAGCAAU